rnacentral:rRNA from 1 species
UACGUAGGGUGCGAGCGUUGUCCGGAAUUAUUGGGCGUAACGAGCUCGUAGUCGGCUUGUCACGUCGGGUGUGAAAGCCCGGGGCUUAACCCCGGGUCUGCAUUCGAUACGGGCUAGCUAGAGUGUGGUAGGGGAGAUCGGAAUUCCUGGUGUAGCGGUGAAAUGCGCAGAUAUCAGGAGGAACACCGGUGGCGAAGGCGGAUCUCUGGGCCAUUACUGACGCUGAGGAGCGAAAGCGUGGGGAGCGAACAGG